AAAUAAAAAUCGAUGUUGUUGCUACCCGUAGUGGUGUUUAAUGCAUCGGAAUUGAGUUGUCUUUACCUUUUUUGGUUAAAGUGACUUAAAAUUAUGUACGAUUUUUUGAACGUAUUUAAAUUGUUUACGUAUGUUCAUAAUAUCAAAUAUAUUAGGUGCGAUCAUCCUCAUGAUUUCGUGUCUAUAAUUUUCAUU
rnacentral:misc_RNA from 1 species